GGGCCCGUAGCUCAGCCUGGCUUGGAGCGUCCGGCUGAUAACCGGAAGGUCGUGGGUUCGAAUCCCACCGGGCCCA
rnacentral:tRNA from 1 species